rnacentral:lncRNA from 1 species
CUGUUCCACUGAUCUAAUCACUAGUUAUUAAGAACAGUACAGAAACGAAGCAGACAUUCUGCACGCAAAAACCUUGUGAAGACUUUAACAGGGUGAAAGAGAUAUUGAAGAGACCUAAAGGAUCUCACUGCUCUUCACAUUCUGGAAGCUUUCCCAGCUAGGACGAGUACCAAUAGAACUACACUGGAGACUUUAUACUUGUCCUAACAGAUGAGAACAAUAGAUUCUUUAAUCACAGGGGAUACAAAUAUUUACUGUUAAUAGCAACUUCCAGGGAAAGUACGCAUCUCAGUUAAGAUACACAACUUAAAAAAAAAAAAAAGUUCUAUUCUUACAAUAUUUUUUUCUUGUCCUCCAGACUGCUGAAGUGAACUGUUUCAGCAGUGGCUGGUGUUGCCUGGCCUUGCAGACCCCUGCACACACCAGGGAGGUUUUCCUGUGGGGGGGGAGACUUAACACCAAAGAGCUCAACAGACUCUGGUAGAUCUUUUCUCUAUGAGGCCUCCGGAGUCUGGAGACAGGGCUAAGGUGUAAACAGAAUACUCUUUAGUAUGCACAGCUAAUGUGGUCACUUCUGGGACAGUUAAGCAACCCUUUGUUUAUCUACAUUGUUGUGAAGAACUUAAGGAUAAUUAACCGUGAGUGGAUUUACUGCUUGAGUGAAGGAUAUAUAAGGUGUGUGUAAAACACAAUAAAGAGAACUUGCUAUUCUGAAAACUUGCUAUUCUGAUGCCACACUGACUGGGGGAAUUCUGUAACGGGACCAAGCGCCGACAUUUUCCCUCAGCAAAUGCUAUUGCUCAACAUUCCAUAGGAUGUGGUGGAAAGGAAGGAUGAGGAUCAAGCUUCCUGACCCUCCUCAAAAAUUAGUUCCUCAGGGAUAGGAAUCACAACACAUGAGGGCAUCAAAUCACAGGUGCCCUCAGUGUGGGCAAGCAAGGUUGCAGAAAGCUCAGUCAUAACUUUCGGGUGAAGCUGGGCCUAGUCCUAUGGCUCCUGUGGAGCCAACAGAAAUAUGUGCUGCUGGGCCUCUUCUGUGCAAAGCCAGGAGGUGCUACCAUGCUGUAAGACUACUGCAACCCCACUUGAAGCUUAUUUUUUUUCCAGGGCAACAGUGGAAGUGUUUUCAUGCGGCAUAG